rnacentral:misc_RNA from 1 species
GAUGAAGAACGCAGUGAAAUGCGAUACGUAAUGUGAAUUGCAAAUUCAGUGAAUCAUCGAGUCUUUGAACGCACAUUGCGCCCCCUGGUAUUCCGGGGGGCAUGCCUGUCCGAGCGUCAUUGCUGCCCUCAAGCACGGCUUGUGUGUUGGGCCCCGUCCUCCGAUUCCGGGGGACGGGCCCGAAAGGCAGCGGCGGCACCGCGUCCGGUCCUCGAGCGUAUGGGGCUUUGUCACCCGCUCUGUAGGCCCGGCCGGCGCUUGCCGAUCAACCCAAAUUUUUAUCCAGGUUGACCUCGGAUCAGGUAGGGAUACCCGCUGAACUUAAGCAUAUCAAUAAGCGGAGG